GGGGCUGCUGGUUCUUCCAGGAGCGCGCAUGAGCGGACGCUGCCUACUGGUGGCCGGGCGGGAUGUAACCGGCUGCUGAGCUGGCAGUUCUGUGUCGCUAGGCUUCUGCCCGGCCGCCGCCGCACAUAAGCCACGAGGAGGAGCUUUACGACUUCCCGGUCUUCGGCGCCGGGCGCAGCAAGGGCCAGACUCUGCGCUAGCAGGCGCUGCGCGCCAACCGGCCGGCACCUGUCGCAGAAGGUGCAACCGAUCGCACUGUCGCGCAGAAGCUCCUCAAUGGCCAGCGCCAGCUGCAGCCCCGGCCGCCCACUCGCCUCAUCUGAGCCUGGCAGAAGGUAAGCAUGAGCAAAUUACUUUUUAGAGGUAACUUUGCUGAACUUGUGAAGAAUGGUGUGCAAGGUCCAGAGCGACUGCAGGAGAGGGAAGGUGGGAUUCCCACAGAGCAGGAGCACAGAUAAGCCAAGCAAGGCCCUGCUUGGAAGGCAGCAAUCAACAGAGAUGCACAGACCUGUGAGGGUGCCGGGACAGCCAUGCAACAAUGCAGCCCUUUUGCUUCCUGAGCUCACCAGUUCCCUCGCUCCACCUCUGAGAGGUGGUUUGGAGAAACACAGCCCUUCUCAAGAGGGCUGCAAGCUACUUAAGUCCUGAAAAUUUCCACAAGGCUGAGUCAAAUCUGCGUUUCAUCAUCUAUAAGAAAGGUACCUAUCGAGAACACCCUGCUGGCCAGUGUGUAAAUAUCUAAAGGAGGACUCAGAAAACACCGGGGAAGUCCAGCCUGCACGUGGUGGCUGGGCUUCAGUGAAGCAUGCAGCACAACAGGAGUUAGCAGACCACAAAGAGCAUGUCUGGACCUAGAACCACAGCAUGUAACCUCGGAAGCAGUGAGACACCAGCCAGCAUGGACAAGCAGCAGGCACUUGCUCUAUACCAGGUGAGGGUGUGGAGACAUGACGUGGUGCAGGGACACCAGCACCCAGUCCUAGUUCUGGUCCCUCUCAGCCUUGUUAGGUCCUGGUUCCUAAGAUUCCAGGGAACAUCCCCACAGCCUCACAAUAAGAUCCUCCUUUCCUGCAUAUGCUAGCUUGGAUGGGAUCCUCUGUUCUGUAAUCAGUAUGGCAACAGAGCAGAUGAAAUAUUUAAUGGUCUUUCAUGAGCACUAAAUUUUGUUUUUUACAAACUAGGUUAGAUUCUGUCAAAUAAUCGUCUAAUGGUGUAUUCGAGUGUAUAUUAAGGAUCUGAUUCAUUCUAUACCCACUAACCAUAACCAAACAGAUUAAGUUUUCUUUCUCAGAAUCUAAUCCUUCAGUUUCUUGGAAGCUGGACUAGUUUCAGAGCAUCUACAAACAUUUCUGGAAUAUUUAACUUACCCUGAAAUAACAGACGAUAGACAGUAAUUCCCUAAAUUAUUUUCCCCAGUUGUUGCAAAAUAAAGCAAAUGCAGAGUUUCUAGGACUAUAAAAGGAACUCAACUUCCCGGAUCCUAGUAAAGAAACAGGAAACAGCUUGAAGCUCUCUGGUUUGUUUUAUGGCUCAUGAAAAAGCUUUAGCCCAACUUGGCAAAAGAAAGGCAGGGAAAGAGUUCAUAUGGCUCUGCACAAACCCAACCCAAUUACUAAUUUCAUGUUAGCCACUCUUUAUGUGGAAUGAGAGGGCUCACAGAUGCCCUGCCCUCCAAAACACGCCACAGGGAGGACACAUUCCCAUCAGCAUCAGGGGUUCAUGCUAACACAGAGAAAAUGCGUAUGACUGCAGGAGUCCAUGCUUGGUUUAAAUAGCCCUGCUGUUGACUCAGAUAUGUACAGGUAGGCAGGAACCACACACUGUACACAUAUACCACAUGCCACCACACACCAUACAUCCCACAGACCAAUGUGUGCAUAAAUACAUGCACAACCAUACAUACACACCAUACAUACAACACACAUACACCAUACACACAACACACACCAAUGUGUGCACAAAUACACAGCCACAUACCACAUGCACAUGCAAGCACACACAAUGGAGAAUCACUGCCUCAAAAGCUCCUCAUAUGCUAUUAUCUGUCAGAAUGUGAACCAUAGAUCUGAUAUUGCAAAAGAAAUGUGUUUUAUGCAACUUUAUUAAUACAUUUAUUUAAUGUGACUCCAUAUUCAACAGAAACAAUCCAAGAUACUCUCUUAUUUAUAAUAGAAUACUUACUUCUUUUGUGCUUUCUUUAUGGACAUAGAUCCAUUUUUCAUGAUAAAAACCUAGAAUAAAAAUUACCUUUGUUUUUAAAAUCUGGCAAAUCAUUUCAAAAUGAAGAUUUUAAAGGAAUUUAAAUAAUUGGACAUAUUAACAAAAUUAUCUGACUUACUAUAUUGACAAGAAAUGCUUUUACUUGGUUGAAUGCAAACAGAAUUGCUUUGUUUCUUAAAUCAGUUUAAGAUAUGAACAAUGAUUUCAGACAGUACCAAGUCCUAGUAACUUAGAAGAAAAUUAGUAUUAUUAAUGACUGAAGCCAUAUGAAGACAUAAAUGAUUAUAAAAUGCAAUUACAUUACUACAUUCCUAUGUACCCUAAUAAAAAGUUCUAUUCUUCUGUUGCUGUGUAUAGUACUCCAUAGAAACAAAUUUUUCAGAUAAAUCUUAAAAGUUUCAAGAAUCACACUAACUGUAUUCUCCAUGUGACCCUAUCUUCUUCAUAAAGUAGUCCCCCCGUAUUCACAGUUUCAUCUUCUACAGUUUCAAUUACCCACAGUCAGCUUUGGUUUGAAAACAUUAAGUGGAAAAUUCCAGAAAUAAACCAUUCAUAAGUUUUAAAUUGUGUGCCAUUCUGGGUGGUGUCAUGAAAUCUCACACCGUCCUGCUCUGUCCUGCCUGGGAUGCAAAUCCUCCCUUUGUCAAGCGAGUCCUACACUACCCGCCCCUUGGUCACUCAGUAGCCGUCUUGGUUAUCGGAUCACCUGUUGAGAUAUCACAGUGCUUGUGUUUAAAGAACCCUUAUUGCACUUCAUAAUAGCCCCAAAGUGCAAGAGCAGUGAUGGUGGCCAUCUUGCUAUAACUGUUUCAUUUUAUUAUUAUUCUCGUUAAUCUCUUACUGCACCUAAUUUAUAAAUUAAACUUUAUUAUAAGUGUGUAUAUACAGAAAAAAAAACAUAGUAUCCAUAAGGUUUGGUAGUAUCCACAGUUUCAGGCAUCCACUGGAGGUCUAUCCCCUGAGGUAAGGAAGCCUACUAUACAUUAACAUGUGUCUUGGUAACUCACAGAUAUGCUGCAUGAUAGAACGCUAUGCCCUCUCACAGAUAGGUCCCACCUCCAGCCUUCCCCUGCUGCCAUCUAACAUCCUAAACUCCAGCUCUGAAUGUCUGUCUCCUGCUCUGAAUCUUCAGUGACUUCGAAACUCAAGUCAGGACACCUCUCAGUUUGGCCUCACUGCUCAAGAUUGAGCUGAAUUCAUGACCAUAAUUCAAGCAUUCAGAUUCAUGGGCUGUUUUGUGGGUUUUGCUAUCUCUUAUUUUGUUUUUGCACAUCUUACCCACUGAAACGUUGGGCUGCAAAAAGUUUGAUCACUAAAUAUGUAGGCAAUGCUGGAUACUGGGCUGUUAUUUACAUAUUUGUAUCACCUUUUAUUUCAUAAGAUAGCAUUGUCAGAGUAAUUUAGUAUUUCAACAUAAUCAACAAGUAAAAUAAAAUUAAUGAGAAUGAUCUUA
rnacentral:lncRNA from 1 species